rnacentral:rRNA from 1 species
GAUGAACGCUGGCGGCGUGCCUAAUACAUGCAAGUCGAGCGAACAGAUAAGGAGCUUGCUCCUUUGACGUUAGCGGCGGACGGGUGAGUAACACGUGGGUAACCUACCUAUAAGACUGGAAUAACUCCGGGAAACCGGGGCUAAUGCCGGAUAACAUUUAGAACCGCAUGGUUCUAAAGUGAAAGAUGGUUUUGCUAUCACUUAUAGAUGGACCCGCGCCGUAUUAGCUAGUUGGUAAGGUAACGGCUUACCAAGGCAACGAUACGUAGCCGACCUGAGAGGGUGAUCAGCCACACUGGAACUGAGACACGGUCCAGACUCCUACGGGAGGCAGCAGUAGGGAAUCUUCCGCAAUGGUCGAAAGCCUGACGGAGCAACGCCGCGUGAGUGAUGAAGGUCUUCGGAUCGUAAAACUCUGUUAUUAGGGAAGAACAAAUGUGUAAGUAACUGUGCACGUCUUGACGGUACCUAAUCAGAAAGCCACGGCUAACUACGUG